rnacentral:rRNA from 1 species
GUGAAGCUGGAUUCGCUAGUAAUCGCGCAUCAGCCAUGGCGCGGUGAAUACGUUCCCGGGCCUUGUACACACCGCCCGUCAAGCCAUGGAAGCCGGGGGUGCCUGAAGUGUGCAGCCGCAAGGAGCGCCCUAAGGUAAAACCGGUGACUGGGGCUAAGUCGUAACAAGGUAGC